rnacentral:rRNA from 1 species
AACUNCGAUUGCGAAGGCAGCUUGCUGGACUGUAACUGACGCUGAGGCACGAAAGCGUGGGGAUCAAACAGGANUAGAUANCCNGGUAGNCCACGCCNUAAACGAUGANUGCUAGCUGUUAGCGAUAUACUGUUAGCGGCACAGAGAAAUCGUUAANCAUUCCACCUGGGGAGUACGCCGGCAACGGUGAAACUCAAAGGAAUUGACGGGGGCCCGCACAAGCGGAGGAACAUGUGGUUUAAUUCGAUGAUACGCGAGGAACCUUACCUGGGCUUAAAUUGCAGUGGAAUAACGUGGAAACAUGUUAGCCUUCGGGCCGCUGUGAAGGUGCUGCAUGGUUGUCGUCAGCUCGUGCCGUGAGGUGUCGGCUUAAGUGCCAUAACGAGCGCAACCCUCAUCGAUAGUUACUAACAGGUUAAGCUGAGGACUCUAUCGAGACUGCCGACGUAAGUCGUGAGGAAGGUGGGGAUGACGUCAAAUCAGCACGGCCCUUACGUCCAGGGCUACACACGUGUUACAAUGGGGGGUACAAAGGGCAGCUACCUGGCGACAGGAUGCUAAUCUCUAAAACCUCUCUCAGUUCGGAUUGGAGUCUGCAACCCGACUCCAUGAAGCUGGAUUCGCUAGUAAUCGCGCAUCAGCCACGGCGCGGUGAAUACGUUCCCGGGCCUUGUACACACCGCCCGUCAAGCCAUGGGAGCCGGGGGGACCUGAAGUAUGCAACCGCAAGGAGCGUCCUAGGGUAAAACCGGUAACUGGGGCU